UCAGGAAGGUUAAAACCACCCUCAGACCCAGGAAGGUUAAAACCACCCUCAGACUCAGGAAGGUUAAAACCACCCUCAGACCCAGGAAGGUUAAAACCACCCUCAGACUCAGGAAGAUGUAAAACGUUCCUUUUUAUUCUAUGAGUUUUAACUGCCCAUAAAGUCUGUUUUGACAGAGUAUACUUUUUAAAGAAUGUCUUCGGUGGGGUAAUUGGUAUUACCAAAAAUAAAACCAAAACCUUUGUCAGCCAUGCCGUUCUAAAGAGUUUUAUUCUCCCUGUAAGAUUCAUGGAAGUUUAUUCCUUUAAUUAGAUCUGCUUUCAUGUGGUUGAG
ensembl:lncRNA